rnacentral:rRNA from 1 species
AACGAACGCUGGCGGCGCGCUUAACACAUGCAAGUCGAACGAGAAGGCGUAGCAAUACGCUUGUACAGUGGCGAACGGGUGAGGAAUACAUGGGUAACCUACCCUCGAGUGGGGGAUAACCCGCCGAAAGGCAGGCUAAUACCGCGUACGCUUCCGAUCUUGCGGGAUUGGAAGGAAAGCUGUCCCUUGGGGGAUGGCGCUCAAGGAUGGGCUCAUGUCCUAUCAGCNGUUGGUAGGGUAACGGCCUACCAAGGCAUCGACGGGUAGCUGGUCUGAGAGGACGAUCAGCCACACUGGCACUGCGACACGGGCCAGACUCCUACGGGAGGCAGCAGUGAGGAAUAUUGCGCAAUGGGCGAAAAGCCUGACGCAGCGACGCCGCGU